UGAAACGGUCCUCUAGUGCCUCUUAAGAU
rnacentral:piRNA from 1 species